GCGGGAGGAGGGCUGGGGAGAGCCCUCUCGGGCCAGACAGCACCUGCUGGACAAAGGUUCUAGAGAUGGCGGGGUGUGGUUGUGGGGUGGCAGCUGGGGCGGGUGGCUGAGAAGGGUGGCUCUUUGGAGUUGUAGGUCAGUCCUUGCACUGGCUUUCAGUAAAAUUUUGAGUCUUAUGUAGCUGCCCCUAGUACCUCUGAGUCUUCUUCACUUAAAACGUAAAAUUUUUUCCAUCUUUCUCAGGGACUUGAUGCAGGCCCACCACCAAAAGUAGCCUGGCUUGCAGUGUCCCAUAAAAAUGGGGAUUUGUCCAGGAAAAGUGGUGGUGGAUGGCACCUGCCCUGAGAGAGGGGAAAUGGUGUCUGGUGAGGAACUGCCAGCAGGAAAAUGGUGAACAGCUGAGGAAAAUGGUGGCACAGAGGAAAAGAUGGUCAUCUGUUCUGCGACUUUUGGACUCUGGAACUAAUUUUGAGAAGCAUUGCCUGGACUGGUCUGAACUUCAAGUAACAAUCCAACAAAUUUUUACCCAUCAGUUUACUAGAGAUGUGGCAGCUUCAUCUUAGAAAAUGAAAAAAAAAACCAAAAACAACUAAAACCCACUUUUGCCUGUGAUUAAAGGUAAGCCUGAUUUUUGUUUACUUCUAGUUUAGUGAUAUUUCAUGGUGAAUAUUGAGUGGACACAACAAAUGAUCAGUGCACAAAUUAUUGGCUGGUGGCAUAUAGCACUUUGAAAAUGAUUUAUUAGCACUUUGACACAUUAAAAUCUUACAUGAAAACAUUAAUGGAUAUUUAAGAUGGUGACUUCUUUCAAAAAAGUAUGUUCAAAGGGCAUUUGUGAUCUCCUAAUAUAAUUAUUUUGGGUUAGAGAUAUUAUUUUCAUUGCAAAAGGUGUUGCCAUGGAAUGAGUUGUCAUAAUAAUAUGUUAUAGAUAUGCAUAUACAAGCAUGGUGCAUGUAUAUGUGCCUUAUAUUGUGUAGCCUUUCCUAUAGUGGGUACAUAUAUAACUGCUUUCUGCUAGUAUGUUUAUGAAGAAAAAAAGGUGUUCCCUUUUGUCUGAUAUGCUUGCUGUUCAAGUUUUAGCUUUAGGCUAAGUUUAAACUCUAAAAUAAAGAGACAAAAACCUGUAAGGAGAAAGGGGCCUGACUGUUUACCUGCUGGCCUUUUUGUUGUAUUACAACUAUACUCAUUGUAUGUGUGGAAGAAGCUUGUACAGCCCUGCAAUUCCUUAUCUAUUUUUGCUAUUAUUUACCUAAAUCUCAAUGCAGAGUUAGCCUUCCUUCCCUUUUCUCAGUUGGUUUGAUGUAUCAAUGCCUCUAAAGGAAUUUCUGUAUGUUCUGCAUUGUAACUGAAUAUAGUGACAAAUGGCAGCUGCAGCAAUUUGGCUUAGCUAGAGUUGCAUCAUUCCUUAUUCUGAAAGCCAAAAGCGCAACACAACAACCCACAUGCUAACCCUCUAUUCCAUGUUUUUUUCCUAAUACAGCGAGGAUUUCAUGUGGGAUGUUCUGCAAUGACAACUUCUAAGUAAUAAACACUUUGUAUUACAAGUAGAGAAUCAAUAGUGUGAAAAUAUAUGAACUAAUAAGGAAAAAAGAACAGUAACCUAUAUUAGUAACACAACUGGGGAGUGUUAGUUUAGCUGCAGUAAUGGAUACUGCACUAUAGUUAUUAUUUAAAGAUAGGGAUGAAUUUAUUUCCUGACUGAGAGAUUAGCUGAACUGUAUAGAGAUUUAGAUGGUUGUUUUUUCAGCCAUCUUCCACGGCAUCUUGGUGCUGUGAAGAUGUCUGCAGGUUAAAAUUCAAGUUACUUUUGCUUUGUGGUUGGUAGAUGACCAGUAAGAGCAUUUGUCCGUAGGGGUCUUGUUUCUGUUGAAACAGAGCUUUAAGUGGAUAGGGAAAAGCUGCUGAAUGACUUGGGAAUGGUGCUCCUAAUGGCUGGUUCAGCAAGGACGAGAAAAAUAGUUGGCUUUUGUAUAGUGACAUGACAGUAGAGUUCUUGUAGUCAAUUAUUCUCCAGCUGUCAAAGACUGGGUGGCAGAUAGUAAAACGCUACAGCAAGAAAUGCUUCAGGAAAGGAUCACAGAUUGUACUGCACAUUUUACUGGAUAAUCUAAUUAAAACACACCUCUUGCAUCUUGCUUAUCUUGCAUGUGUUCAUAAUAUAUAAAAGGUAGACUGAUGGUAUGCAAAAGAAUAUAGGGUAGAAUAUUUCCUUGACCUCGGACACGAACGCAAGUUAUUACAGGAAAACUCAGUGUCCACAAGGUAAUGAAGAAUAUUUUCACUUUUGCAUUGUCAUCAUAGAACUUGUGUGUGAAAAUUUUGAUGAACCAGUUGUGCUUUUUAUCUCUAGUAUUUGAAGUUCACCUACAACUUAGGAUUCUUUUCAGAAUAAUAUGAAAAAAUAUAUUUCAGAAAAAUAAUUAAUGUUUACAUUAAACAACUUUAGGUCAAUGCAACUUUUAAAUAGUCACUUCACAACAAAAGAACUUACCAACAGUGUAUAGAAACAGGUUAUGCUGCCAGCAAAAAUCCUGAAAGACGAGCUUCGAAUUCUGUUAUGCAUUUCUUAUUGUGAUACGUACAGGUGGUUUAUGUUUUUUUUUUUUUUUUUUUCUUUUCAGAAUUAGAGGCAUGGAGGUUAAAUUAUGGUAAAAAUAAGCUUCUUAAGUUAAAAAUUAGUAAUGAAUAAAAAGGGAAGAUGAUUUGCAGAGUAAUGAAACUUUUAUCUACAGUCAUACAUAGUAUUAUUCAAUAUACUGUUUUCUUUAAAGUGUUUCAUUUCCCACUGCUUCCAGUUUAAUUACCUCCAACUGCCUUUAUUGAUUAUGGAUUGGUUAUAUGCACAAAUAUGAGGGCAUAUAUAAAUCUAAUUAUACUUCAGAGAAAGUUUCUGAUUUGCCCAAAGGCUUAUUUUAACUACAUGCUAAUGAUAUAGCUACAGUUGUGAGACUGGAGGUUAUAAUGGAUGAGGUUUUUUUGUUCUUUUAAAUGAAACAUUAAACGAUGAUGAAAAGCUUUGAGUCACUUUUCCUUAACUUUCAUUCCCGGUGGCUACACUUUUGAUAAUAUUGGCGUGCAAAUAUAGGCAUGCUAAUGUGUGCACAGAAAUGAACGCAGACCUCAGGCUGAAAUCAUGAUGAAAAAUCAGAAAAUUCAAGUUUGUAUUCAGAGAUAAUAAAGGACCUCUGCUUAUGGCUACAACCUGGAUAAUUUUCUCUCCUGAAGUUACAAUGAAAGUGUGCAUAAGAAAAAGCAAAAUGUACUAGUAAUUGAUAAUUUUCAGCCUAAACCCAUAUUGUUAAUCAUUUCUGAGAGGGGGAAGAAAAGAAUCUAUUUUUUAUAUAUUAGAGUUUUACAGCAAUUUUCUCACUUCUAAUAUAUGAAUUAUUAACAAAGAUACUCAGUCUAAUAUGGAAGUUGCCCAGGAACUCAUGCCUUUUAUUUAAUCUUGGGGGCAAGCUCCAAAAGAUGUGUUCCAUGCUUUUUAUAAUGUUGAGUAAUGUACUGUAACUUCAGAGGUAAAAGCAAUUGAUUUCCUGCUUAACUGUCCAAUUAAAACUUUCCUGAUUCUCAUGAGUGGGAGCAGGGUAAUUAUUUCUAGAUCAAAAAAUUGUAUUUUUUCCUCAAAGAUACCUAAUGGCAGAUAGGCCAUUUUUUAAAAAAGCACAUUGCAUUCAAAAGAAAUCUACUAUAGUUUCCUAUUAUGCAAAAAAUGUCAGUUUUUAGAAUAAAGAAACUGUUCAGCUUGGAAUGUAAUGCACAUGAGCUAUAUGAAAACAGUUUCUGCAUGUGCUAUAGAAGUAUGAAAACACUGACCUAUAUCAAUAAGAAAAAUGGUAAGAAAUAACUUC